AAGGCUUGUUGCAUGGCGGACAUACCUCGUUGCAGGGUUCGACGCACCUAUUGAAGAUAUAAUAUCAGUCAACACUCCAACAAGACGGCCAUAAAGAGGCCUAACAUAUAGCAUGGCGCGUGCAGACGAAAUUGAUAACAUUCAGAACACGAGCCUACACAACGAUGGUCGCAACUCAAUACAGCUGAACAAGGGAACUUACAAUAACGGAGUAGCUCUUUCUUGAAACUAGUAUCAUUCGGAUUAUCUGUAAUGUAAUGUCAUCAAAUAA